rnacentral:rRNA from 1 species
UAGGUGUCGGGGGGUUCGAAAUNUCGGUGCCGCAGUUAACACAUUAAGUAUUCCGCNUNGGGAGUACGGUCGCAAAGACUGAAACUCAAAGGAAUUGACGGGGACCCGCACAAGCAGCGGAGCAUGUGGUUUUAAUUCGAAGCAACGCGAAGAACCUUACCAAAUCUUGACAUCCUUUUGACCAUCAUUUAAUCAUGAUCUCUCUUCGGAGCAGAAGUGACAGGUGGUGCAUGGUUGUCGUCAGCUCGUGUCGUGAGAUGUUGGGUUAAGUCCCGCAACGAGCGCAACCCUUGUCUUUAGUUGUCAUCAGGUAAUGCUGGACCCUCUAAAGAGACUGCCGGUGAUAAACCGGAGGAAGGUGGGGAUGACGUCAAAUCAUCAUGCCCCUUAUGAUUUGGGCUACACACGUGCUACAAUGGUCGGUACAACAGGCAGCGAAAGGGUAACCUGGAGCGAAUCCUCUAAAGCCGAUCUCAGUUCGGAUUGUGGGCUGCAACUCGCCCACAUGAAGUUGGAGUUGCUAGUAAUCGUGAAUCAGAAUGUCGCGGUGAAUGCAUUCCCGGGUCUUGUACACACCGCCCGUCACACCAUGGAAGUUGGGGGCGCCCGAAGCCAGUGAUCCAACCGCAAGGAGGAAGCUGUCGAAGGUGAAACCAAUGACUAGGGUGAAGUCGUAACAAGGUAACCG